CAAACAGACAUAUCAUACCAACCACAGUGGACACAAACUCAAAUCCUCAUCUCCACUCCUGAUAUAAAUAUGUUCUUCCAUUCAGAUGAUAGACGGUGUAAAUCCAGACAGCUUUCCUCCUGGUUUCGUGUCCCACGUUGCCUUCAGUGUGCUGAGAGCAGAGAAAUCAUUUCCAUAGAGAGGAGGCUUUGCAUGGUCAGCUGAUCCUCCAGUGAGAAGGUUUAUAGUCCUGUGAGUUCAACACUGCAGGACUCACAUCUGUCAGUCAGCAGAAAGCACCAUGACUCUCAUCACCAUCCUCAUCUGGACGCUGGCCUGCUGCUGUUUCACAGGAUGCAGCGGUCAGGUGACUGUGACUCAGCCUGCAGUCCAGACGUCUGCUCCAGGAUCCACCGUCACUCUCACCUGUAAAACAAGCAGAAAUGUUGCAUUUCCGGGGUCUAGUGAAUAUAUGUUCUGGUAUCAACAGAAAUCUGGACAGCCUCCAAAGCUCCUGAUUAAAUAUGUGAGCACACGUGAAUCAGGAACAGAACCUCGGUUUAGUGGCAGUGGAGGCGGCUCUGACUUCUAUAUGACCAUCACUGGACUGAAGGCUGAAGAUGCAGCAGUUUAUUACUGUCAGAGUCGCCACAUCAUAAACAGUGUUAAUCUGUGGACUUUUGGUGGAGGAACCAAACUCAUCGUUGACUUGGGUGUGCAGCGGCCCACCCUGAGCGUCCUCCCCCCCUCCAGAGAGGAGCUGCAGCAGGGCAGUGCCACCGUGGUGUGUCUGGCCAGCGGGGGCUUCCCCUCCGCCUGGAGGCUGGGCUGGAAGCUGGGGGGCAGCAGCAGCUCCUCAGGGGGGUCCCACAGCCCGGAGGUCCUGGGGAGCGACGGCCGCUACAGCUGGAGCAGCACCCUGAGCCUCUCUGCAGAGCGCUGGAGGGGGGCGGGCUCAGUGAGCUGUGAGGCCAGUCUGAGUGGACAGAGCCCUGUCACUCAAAGCCUGGACCCUGCCCGCUGCUCGGAGUAGAGCAUCACUUCCUGUCUGGAGAGGAAGCAGCUUCUUUGGUAGAGAUCUUCAUGAAGACACACAUCUCCUCUGCUCACAUGUUGCUGCUGUCUCUGUUCAGUUGUUAGUGCUGCUCUCUAAUCCUCACUUCCUGCAUAUUCUCCUGUUUGUUCAUCAGCUCACAAUUCAACUGGAUUUCAUUUGUUUCACUCCAACAGAAACUCAUCAUUCAUCUCAAAUGUGGCGUGAGCUUUAAACCAUCAUUAAAUAAAAAUGUUGAUUAAAAUGA